rnacentral:rRNA from 1 species
GACGAACGCUGGCGGCGUGCUUAACACAUGCAAGUCGAACGGAAAGGCCCUGCUUUUGUCGGGUGCUCGCGUGGCGAAAGGGUGAGUAACACGUGAGUAACCUGCCCUUGACUUUGUGAUAACUUCAGGAAACUGGUGCUAAUACCGGAUAGGAGCUCCUGCUGCAUGGUGGGGGUUGGAAAGAUGCGGGGGUUGGGGAUGGACUCGGGGCUUAUCAGCUUGUGGGUGGGGUAGUGGCUUACCACGGCUUUGACGGGUAGCCGGCCUGAGAGGGUGACCGGCCACAUUGGGACUGCGGUAGGGGGCAGACGCCUACGGGAGGCAACAGUGGGGAAUAGUGCAAAAUGGGCGGGAGCCGGGUGCGGCGGCGCCGCGUGGGGGGUGAAGGCCUUCGGGUGGUGAACCGCUUUCGGCUGUGACGGAGCGUGAGGGACGGUAAUGGGUAAAGAAGCACCGGCUAACUACGUG